UACGUAGGGUGCGAGCGUUAAUCGGAAUUACUGGGCGUAAAGCGUGCGCAGGCUGUUCUGUAAGUCAGAUGUGAAAUCCCCGAGCUCAACUUGGGAACUGCGUUUGAAACUACAGGACUAGAAUAUGUCGAGAGGGGGGUAGAAUUCCACGUGUAGCAGUGAAAUGCGUAGAUAUCAGGAGGAACACCGAUGGCGAAGGCAGGUCUCUGGGCUGACACUGACGCUCAUGCACGAAAGCGUGGGGAGCAAACGGG
rnacentral:rRNA from 1 species